rnacentral:rRNA from 1 species
UACGGAGAGUGCAAGCAUUAAUCGGAAUUAUUGGGCGUAAAGGGCGCGUAGGCGGGAAGAUAAGUCAGAUGUGAAAUUUCGGAGCUCAACUUCGGAGCUGCAUUUGAAACUAUAUUUCUUGAGGGUGGACGGAGAAAACGGAAUUCCACGUGUAGCGGUGAAAUGCGUAGAUAUGUGGAAGAACACCUGUGGCGAAAGCGGUUUUCUAGUUUAUACCUGACGCUGAGGCGCGAGAGCAAGGGGAG